ACUUGGAUGCCUGCCUCUCACACUGCUCUACUUUAUGAAGUCAAGACCAUUAAUAAAAUCCAGUUUACAGAAAGGCCUAGAGAAGGUUAUUUCUCUGAACACUUCGCUGUACCUACUUCCAUAACAGAUGAACUUACCAGAUGUAACAGAAGCGGUUCUUCUGUUCUCGUGGAAGAUGAAGUUGUCCUUUGUUUUGAUGAGUCCUGAAGGACUUAAAGAAUUCUCUGCAUCAACUAAGUGGUUCUGCUGGUUGUGUCUGGGAUCAUUCACACAGCUGCAUUCAAUCAGCAGAGAAGCUGGUGAUUGGGCUGAUGGCUCAUCCUCAAGAAGACUAGAUCAGCUUCCUCACAUAACGGCAGCCAGGUUCCAAGGCAAACCCCAGUGUGCAAGUACUUAGCAAGUCACUGCUUGUGUCAAGUUUACUGAUGUCCCCUUGGUCACAGUGCUAAC
rnacentral:lncRNA from 1 species